GACGAACGCUGGCGGCGUGCUUAACACAUGCAAGUCGAACGGAAAGGCCCUGCUUUUGUGGGGUGCUCGAGUGGCGAACGGGUGAGUAACACGUGAGUAACCUGCCCUUGACUUUGGGAUAACUUCAGGAAACUGGGGCUAAUACCGGAUAGGAGCUCCUGCUGCAUGGUGGGGGUUGGAAAGUUUCGGCGGUUGGGGAUGGACUCGCGGCUUAUCAGCUUGUUGGUGGGGUAGUGGCUUACCAAGGCUUUGACGGGUAGCCGGCCUGAGAGGGUGACCGGCCACAUUGGGACUGAGAUACGGCCCAGACUCCUACGGGAGGCAGCAGUGGGGAAUAUUGCACAAUGGGCGGAAGCCUGAUGCAGCAACGCCGCGUGCGGGAUGACGGCCUUCGCGUUGUAAACCGCUUUCGCCUGUGACGAGGCGUGAGUGACGGUAAUGGGUAAAGAAGCACCGGCUAACUACGUG
rnacentral:rRNA from 1 species